AGAGAUCAUGGCUCAGAAUCAACGCUGGCGGCGUGCCUAACACAUGCAAGUCGAACGCGAAAGGGGAGCAAUCCCUGAGUAGAGUGGCAAACGGGUGAGUAACACGUGGGUGACCUGCCUUCGAGUGGGGGAUAACGUCCCGAAAGGGACGCUAAUACCGCAUGACAUCCUGCUUUUGGAAAAGCGGAGAUCAAAGCUGGGGAUCGCAAGACCUGGCGCUUGAAGAGGGGCCCGCGCCUGAUUAGCUAGUUGGUGAGGUAAUGGCUCACCAAGGCUACGAUCAGUAUCCGGCCUGAGAGGGCGGACGGACACACUGGGACUGAGACACGGCCCAGACUCCUACGGGAGGCAGCAGUGGGGAAUUGUUCGCAAUGGGCGCAAGCCUGACGACGCAACGCCGCGUGGAGGAUGAAGAUCUUCGGGUCGUAAACUCCUGUCGAGCGGGAAGAACAGCUUCGGAGUGAAUAUCUCUGAGGCCUGACGGUACCGCUAAAGGAAGCCCCGGCUAACUCCGUGCCAGCAGCCGCGGUAAUACGGGGGGGGCAAGCGUUGUUCGGAAUUACUGGGCGUAAAGGGCUCGUAGGCGGCCAACUAAGUCAGACGUGAAAUCCCCAGGCUCAACCUGGGAACUGCGUCUGAUACUGGAUGGCUUGAAUUCGGGAGAGGGAUGCAGAAUUCCAGGUGUAGCGGUGAAAUGCGUAGAUAUCUGGAGGAAUACCGGUGGCGAAGGCGGCAUCUUGGACCGACAUUGACGCUGAGGAGCGAAGGCUAGGGGAGCAAACGGGAUUAGAUACCCCGGUAGUCCUAGCCCUAAACGAUGAAUGCUUGGGGUAACGGGUAUCGAUCCCUUGUUGUGCCGAAGCUAACGCAUUAGGCAUUCCGCCUGGGGG
rnacentral:rRNA from 1 species